CAGCUUUUUUAUUUUCAUUGAUUUUGAUGGAUAUAAGCCAUGUAUUCAUACAAAAUGAAAACUUUACUUUUUUUCUUAUCAGAAAAAAAUCGAUCAGAAAGUUCAAAACUCAUGUACAAAAUUUUACAAAUCGCACUAUGCACUUGCUUUUCACAUAUCUACAAAAUUUACAACCAACGUGCUCUGUUUAAAUAUAUAUAUAUACAAUAUUCAAAGAACCAGCUGCAAAAACAAACUGGAACUAUUCCAAUACCUACUUUUCGUCUUGGUCAAAUGGGAGAGCAGAACAGGUGAGAUCAGAAUGAGCCAAGUGCGAGUAUGUCUCACCGAAAAACUUGAGUGUUUUAGACCUAAUAGAUAACUUGCUACCGUUGCGUCAUUAAAGUUAUAUACUUAUGCGUUAAAGCUUUUUUCCAUGGAAAUAGAAAAGAGCAGUACUCUCAAUCUUGGCAGAAAUUUAAUUACUUAAGCAAUAAAAUAAUAUUGUAGGUAUGUAUUCAAAAAUAAAUUGCAAGAAAAACGAACAAGGGGGAUUUUAUUUGGGAGAUAUCAAAAUAAUAUAUUAUUCCGCACUGAACUAAAUUUAUCUUUUUGUUCUGUAAGUCAUUGUGUCAUUGGUAAAUACUUUCGACUAUACACCACUUGUCUUUAUUUAUAAUAUUUUUUGUAAGUUCAAUUAACAGCGAUAAUUAAGUUUAAGCUUUGUUGUGAUGGUAUCGUAAUCAGAAGAAUGAAUAGUUAUAUUAAUGUUUAUUAUCGCACUCACGGGUAUUCUGGUCAGAAGGGAAGUAAAAAAAAAUUGCAAUCGCUAUCGAAUGUUAAACGUUACUAACUGUAGACAGGUAAACUUUGUUGAAGUUCACCUGACUAGAAAUUAAGAAAUUCGGUAUGCUUCACGCAUAUGUAUGAAAAACAAUAAAAACCAAGACGAUAACAAGAGUAUCUAAUCAAUUAACAAUACAUACGUAUCUCUGUUUAUCAUGUCAGUGCGUAAAUCAUGCAUGAGC